GAUGAAGAACGCAGCGAAAUGCGAUAAGUAAUGUGAAUUGCAGAAUUCAGUGAAUCAUCGAAUCUUUGAACGCACAUUGCGCCCGCCAGUAUUCUGGCGGGCAUGCCUGUUCGAGCGUCAUUACAACCCUCAGGCCCCCGGGCCUGGCGUUGGGGAUCGGCGGAAGCCCCCUGUGGGCACACGCCGUCCCUCAAAUACAGUGGCGGUCCCGCCGCAGCUUCCAUUGCGUAGUAGCUAACACCUCGCAACUGGAGAGCGGCGCGGCCAUGCCGUAAAACACCCAACUUCUGAAUGUUGACCUCGAAUCAGGUAGGAAUACCCGCUGAACUUAAGCAUAUCAAUAAGCGGAGGGA
rnacentral:misc_RNA from 1 species